AUAAACUAUCUUUUCAGCAGCAGUCAUCUUCUGAUCUGCUGGCUUUACCAUACCUGAAUAAUAAUAAAACCUACAUUUUAAAACAGGAGGGGGAAGGAUAGAGGGAAGGAAGGGAGGAGAGAAGGAAGGAUGGAAGGAGGAAGGGAGGAAGGGGAGGAAGAAAUUAACCUGUUAAUUUCAAGUUUCUGUAGGAAUGAUCUGAUCCAAAACUUUGCUCUAUGCUUUGAAAGAAGCAGCUUCCUCCUAGCAGAUUCUGGAUGUGUUUGAAAGAAUGAUCCUCCACAGUGCCAUAGGCCAGCAGUUACAACACUCUACCUUUGGGGACACACAGGCUUGGCUUUGAAUCAUGACACUGCCUUUCACUGGCUAUGAGACCUCAGCAAGGUUCCACCUAACAUUUCCCUGGGAAGACAUUUAAACGGAGUUUGGAAGCCACCUUGGAGCCCAUCCCCCACCUCGCGAAAUAACAGAUGGAGAAAGUGAGGCCCCACAAGGGUAAGCAGUUUGUCCAUGUCACCACGUACAUGAACGGCGGCCUCUGAACUGCCGCCAGGGUCCCCAGUUCCAAGCCAGCUCGCGCUCCUUUCCAGCACAUUCUGGCCGACCUCUCGAUGGCCCAGCACAGCCUGGGUGGGGGAAGCAGGAAGCCGCCGGGCUCAGAUGGGACGGCCGCCGCUCCCCGGCCAGGGUGGACAGGCCUCUCUCGGAAGCCAAGCUGUUUCCUCGCAGAGACAAGAGACAGACAAUGAGCGUGGUUAGCAGCUUGGGAGGGAGGGGCGGCCCACUUCAGAGAUGAUUAUCAUGUGGGGACUUGGCUGGAGGAAGGAGCGAGCUGCUUUUUAUAGGAACUCCAGUUCCUCGUUUUGUUCCCCUCGGGUGAUUCUCCAAAGAAAGCCGACUCGAGUCAGCUGGCAGCGGCAGGGCGAGGCCGAGGCGGCCCGGCUGCGAUGGCCCUGGUUCAGCACUUGCCCCAGCUGGUCACGUCCUCACCGGGGCGGCCCGCACUCUGCCAGGAGCCCAGGUCAGCCCCCAUCCAAAAUCAACAAGUCUUUUGUGCUUCUCCUUUAGACACGGUGUAAUUACAGCAAACAUGCAUUGGCGGUGAGCAGCAAUCAUGAGACAACUGUUGAGGAUUUCAGAUGCGCUUGGCGGCGGCUCCUGGAGCGCAGUGCGAGGAACCGCAGCUCCAGUUGGCCCGUGCUGGCCCGAAAACAAGGGAUUUGCAGAAGUCGGGAGCGGUGUGUUGGCACGGUGUCCACGCCAUGUCGUUCAUCAACUAUUUCCUUGAUAGCGGGUUGCGUCUUACCACCAAGCCAACCGACUGACUCAUGAGUCAGUGACUUAAAAAAUAAAUAAAUACUUGAGGCCA